UGGUCAUAUCACGUUGAAACACCGGUUCCCGAAGUUAAGCAACGUCGAGCCUGGUUAGUACCUAGAUGGGGGACCGCUUGUGAAUAGCUGGCUCUGUAA